rnacentral:misc_RNA from 1 species
AGGUGAUACUCCUCACAGCAGUUCAAGCUACAGAAGAGAUCUUCAAAGUAGUCUGGAGUUUUAGCAUUGGCAUUCCUGCAAGGAGUUUGACAGAGCUUGCAGAGUGGUUCGUCCUUGUCGGACCACCCCUGUGUGUACAUUUUCUCUUGUUUCCUUUUCCCGUUACAAAGAUGGAUCUUCCUCCAGACAGCAUUGGGGGGUAAGGGAUAGCUAAGUUCAUCCAACG